rnacentral:lncRNA from 1 species
AUUUAUAUUUUCGUUAGGGUUAGUCCAGACAGAUAUGGUUGAAUGAACUUUAAUUUACUCUACAUAGCAUAAACAACAUAAAAACUAUAUAAAACAAGAUCACACAUGUCUUGAAUUUAUACAAGAUAUAAAAGAAAGAAUGCAAAAAGAUUGAUAUAAACAUACAGACAUGAAUAGCAAACAACAUAUCCCAAGACAAAUGCAAAUAUUUUGCUAACCUUGAUAACUAAGUUCAAAUAGACAGAAAAUACGAAAAAAAAUCAAAUUAAAGAAAAAUAUUCGCUAAACGAUCCCCUGUUGCCGAAUAUCCAUUGCCUUUCAUCCUGGUCGGUAUAACUUGAAGAUUAUAUAGGUAUUGUAUUAAUUGUUAAUUUGUUAACGCCCUGUAUAUGUAUGAACUUUUGGCACU